rnacentral:rRNA from 1 species
AUGCAGAUGUCAACAGAUCCUAACCAAUACGGCGUAUUUCCGCAUUCAUUCUUCGGCCAACAUGUGGUUUCAUUUCAGACGAGUGCAAUUACCAAUGGGCCGGGAGUCAUGCCGGUCUGCCUGGACACUUCCAGUGGGAUAAAUGGUAAUCUGGCAAUGUUGAACACUACACCUUCGACGAUUGUAUCCACUGCUUCACCCAACAUGAUUCCUGAUUCUAGCCAGAGCCUAAAGUAUGGAGGUCCGAUGGCUGUGGAGUGGUCAUACCCUGAGUUACAGAUGCUUAAUGACGGCCUCCAUAAGUAUGCAAGUGAACCGGGAAUCAUGAAGUAUAUCAAGAUAGCAGCAAUGUUGCCAGAGAAGACAGUAAGAGAUGUGGCCAUGAGAUGCCAGUGGAUGGUGGAAAAACAAAAUACAAGACGACGGAAGACUGAAGAACACAAUGUUGGAAGAAAGAUUAAAGAUAGAAAGGCUGUAUCUCAGGACAAAAUGGUGGAGUCGUCAUUGUGGGCUAACAAUCGUUCUGUUCCAACAGAUACCAGAGGUUCUUCUGUUACGAUAGCCUCUGACAUCGACCGUGCAAUGCUUAAUGUAUUGGAAGAAAAUGCUCGACUUCUCAAUCAGAUAGAAGCAAAUAUUUUGACAUCACAGGCUCAGAACAACAUUGAUCUUUUCCAUCGCACAAGAAGUAACAUCAAUAAUCUUCUACAAAGCAUGAGCCAAAUACCUGGAAUAAUGAGCAAGAUGCCUAGGUUGCCUAUUUCAGUGGAUGAAAAGCUUUGCAGUUAUCUGCUCCCGGGUGUUAAUUUGGCCCAAGUUCUUAGCAGCAGCUACCUGAAAGAGGAGCCAAGAGGAAACUGGUGA